CAACGCGUGGGAGCUCUCCCAUAUGGUCGACCUGCAGGCGGCCGCGAAUUCACUAGUGAUUAGAGUUAUCGCGGCUCAGAUUGAACGCUAGUCGAAUUCUUAACACAUGCAAGUCGAGCGGUAACAUGCGUAGUCGUGCACGAGCGGCGAACGGUGAGUAAUGCUUCGGAAUCUUCCUCGUAGUGGGGAACAACCUGGGGAAACUCAGGCUAAUACCGCAUACGAACUACGGUUGAAAGCAGGGGAUCGCAAGACCUUGCGCUAUGAGAUGAGCCGAAGUCGGAUUAGCUAGUUGGUGGGGUAAAGGCCUACCAAGGCGACGAUCCGUAGCUGGUCUGAGAGGACGACCAGCCACACUGGAACUGAGACACGGUCCAGACUCCUACGGGAGGCAGCAGUGGGGAAUAUUGGACAAUGGGGGCAACCCUGAUCCAGCGACGCCUUUUAGGGGACAUAAAGCACACUAAUACUCUUGAUUUAACCCAU
rnacentral:rRNA from 1 species